CGGAACGGCGGAGUAAUACAUAAGCAACGUGCCCCGAAGACUGGGAUAGCCAGCCGAAAGGCUGAGUAAUACCGGAUGUGGCCCUCUUUUGGCAUCUUAAGAGGAUUAAAUGGUUUUUCGCUUCGGGAGCGGCUUAUGGCCUAUCAGGUAGUUGGUGAGGUAACGGCUCACCAAGCCGACGACGGGUAGCGGGUCUGAGAGGACGAUCCGCUCGAGUGGGACUGAGACACGGCCCAC
rnacentral:rRNA from 1 species